UGACAGUACUCCUACGGGGAGGCAGCAGUGGGGGAAUAUUGCACAAUGGGCGCAAGCCUGAUGCAGCCAUGCCGCGUGUGUGAAGAAGGCCUUCGGGUUGUAAAGCACUUUCAGUCGUGAGGAAGGUAGUGUAGUUAAUAGCUGCAUUAUUUGACGUUAGCGACAGAAGAAGCACCGGCUAACUCCGUGCCAGCAGCCGCGGUAAUACGGAGGGUGCGAGCGUUAAUCGGAAUUACUGGGCGUAAAGCGCAUGCAGGUGGUUUGUUUAAGUCAGAUGUGAAAGCCCGGGGCUCAACCUCGGAAUAGCAUUUGAAACUGGCAGACUAGAGUACUGUAGAGGGGGGUAGGAAUUUCAGGUGUAGCGGUGAAAUGCGUAGAGAUCUGAAGGAAUACCGGUGGCGAAGGCGGCCCCCUGGACAGAUACUGACACUCAGAUGCGAAAGCGUGGGGAGCAAACAGGAUUAGAUACCCUGGUAG
rnacentral:rRNA from 1 species